UUUUGUUAGCAAAAAUAUUAAAAAUACAAACAAUCAAGAUUAGCAUGGCCCCGUGCCAAGAAUGACACGUAAAUUCUUGAAGUGUUUCAUUUUUUU
ensembl:snRNA U6 U6 spliceosomal RNA